GCUUAGAUAACUUAACGGUAAAGUAAAACUCUGAAGAAGUUUGAAUUUAGGUUCAAUUCCUAAUCUUGGCA
rfam:Pneumocystis murina mitochondrion, complete genome.